AGGAGGCGGCGGGUAGCUGGCAGGCGCCUACUUCCGAAGGCCGCCGUCCGGGCGAGGUGUCCUCAUGACUUCUCUUGUGGACCAUGUCCAUGAUCUUUUUUGCUUGCGUGGUACGGGUAAGGGAUGGACUGCCCCUCUCGGCCUCUACUGAUUUUUACCACACCCAAGAUUUUUUGGAAUGGAGGAGACGGCUCAAGAGUUUAGCCUUGCGACUGGCCCAGUAUCCAGGUCGAGGUUCUGCAGAAGGCUGUGACUUUAGUAUACAAUGUGGAGAAAUCUGAGGCUAAUUCCCCCAUUAGAAUAUGCAUCCCUCAUGCAUGAAUAAAUAAGAGUGAUCACAGGCUGUCAUUGAUUAAGACUACUAGACAUUUUAAAGGAAGUGGAAGAAAGACAGUCUCAGGAAUAGGUCAAACUGAAGAGACAAUAUACCUGCAGCAAACAGCUACAGGACUGUUUAAAGCCAAGCAAGUGCAGAAUUGAGGUAAGGUUGUGUCUGGGUGUGGGAUGGGAAUACAUGGGGCUGUUUCCAGGUAAUACAGAUAUUGCCCUUUUGUUUCAGUUUUUCUUCUUUCGGGGACGUGGCCUGCAUGGCUAUCUGCUCCUGCCAGUGUCCAGCAGCCAUGGCCUUCUGCUUCCUGGAGACCCUGUGGUGGGAAUUCACAGCUUCCUAUGACACUACCUGCAUUGGCCUAGCCUCCAGGCCAUACGCUUUUCUUGAGUUUGACAGCAUCAUUCAGAAAGUGAAGUGGCAUUUUAACUAUGUAAGUUCCUCUCAGAUGGAGUGCAGCUUGGAAAAAAUUCAGGAGGAGCUCAAGUUGCAGCCUCCAGCGGUUCUCACUCUGGAGGACACAGAUGUGGCAAAUGGGGUGAUGAAUGGUCACACACCGAUGCACUUGGAGCCUGGU
rnacentral:sRNA from 1 species